AGUGAGGAAUAUUGCACAAUGGAGGAAACUCUGAUGCAGCAACGCCGCGUGGAGGAUGACGCAUUUCGGUGUGUAAACUCCUUUUAAGAGGGAAGAUAAUGACGGUACCUCUUGAAUAAGCACCGGCUAACUCCGUGCCAGCAGCCGCGGUAAUACGGAGGGUGCAAGCGUUACUCGGAAUCACUGGGCGUAAAGGGUGCGUAGGCUGACUUUUAAGUCAGGUGUGAAAUCCAAUGGCUUAACCAUUGAACUGCACUUGAAACUGGGAGUCUAGAGUUCAGAAGGGGCAGAUGGAAUUAGUGGUGUAGGGGUAAAAUCCGUAGAUAUCACUAGGAAUAUCAAAAGCGAAGGCGAUCUGCUGGGAUGAUACUGACGCUGAGGCACGAAAGCGUGGGGAGCAAACAGGAUUAGAUACCCUGGUAGUCCACGCCCUAAACGAUGAAUGCUAGUCGUCGGGGAGCUCGUCUCUUCGGUGAUGCACUUAACAGAUUAAGCAUUCCGCCUGGGGAGUACGGUCGCAAGAUUAAAACUCAAAGGAAUAGACGGGGACCCGCACAAGUGGUGGAGCAUGUGGUUUAAUUCGAAGAUACACGAAGAACCUUACCUGGCCUUGACAUGGUAGGAACCCUUAAGAGAUUAGGGGGUGCUAGCUUGCUAGAACCUACACACAGGUGCUGCACGGCUGUCGUCAGCUCGUGUCGUGAGAUGUCGGGUUAAGUCCCGCAACGAGCGCAACCCUCGUCCUUAGUUGCUAACAGUUCGGCUGAGCACUCUAAGGAGACUGCCUUCGCAAGGAGGAGGAAGGUGAGGACGACGUCAAGUCAUCAUGGCCCUUACGGCCAGGGCUACACACGUGCUACAAUGGGGCGUACAAAGAGCUGCAAUACCGCGAGGUGGAGCCAAUCUCUUAAAGCGUCUCUCAGUUCGGAUUGUUCUCUGCAACUCGAGAACAUGAAGCUGGAAUCACUAGUAAUCGUAGAUCAGCUAUGCUACGGUGAAUACGUUCCCGGGUCUUGUACUCACCGCCCGUCACACCAUGGGAGUUGAUUUCACCCGAAAUCGGGAUGCCAAACUGGCUACCGCUUACGGUGGAAUUAGCGACUGGGGUG
rnacentral:rRNA from 1 species